AAGAUAUUUAGGUAUCUCCCUUACAGGGAAAAUCAAGGCAUGUUACUAUUAAACCAGAAGUUACAAAAGAUUUAUGAGAUCUAUUGUAGAACUAAAAUACAGUGCUAUCAGAAUACUUCCUUUCUUCCUAAAAGUCAGGAUCACACAUUCAGAUUAGGUUUGUAGGCUUAGGACAUAAGUAUUAUUCAUCCUGGGAAAGAAAAUGAUUAUAUAUGUAAUAAGACAAGUAGAACUAACGUAGUUUUUUGAGAGUGUGAGAUCAGAAUGAGUAAAAUUAAUUUUGAGGGACUGUGAUCAAGAUACUUAUCUAAUGCUAAGGAAUUUAAUUUGAUUAAUAUAAUUAUUCUAAAGCUUCUUCCCUGCCCAAACCCCCUUAGGAUCUGCUAGCCUCAAAGCUGUUACCCAGAUCUCAACUAAUUUUGCUACCUAUUCUGUCACAAAAACCUCAGGGGAGAAAGGAACCACAGACAGCGAUUUACUGGUCCCUCCUGAUUUCCAAAUUGGAUCACUGUAGUAAAUUAUCUGUGCUGGUACCUGUGAAAGUAAGCCCUGGGAUCCAUAUUUGUUUUGUGUUCUGCUUAAAUCAGCAAGAAUGAUAAAUCUGAUGGUGUGAAAUUGGACGUGUCAAGGGCUUUCUUUGGUAAUUGACCAAAAUAAUGUCUCCACUUGUAAUUUAUUGUGCCCCUCUUUCACUGUAUGUGCUUUGUAUAUCUAAUAUUUAUUUCGGUACAAAUUAAAUUGUUGUUCUUUCAUCUGUAUUGUUAUAGCUAAGAUUUUAUUGAUGUAAAAAUCAAAUUGUGUAAUAAAAACCUCUCUGGAUUUAA